rnacentral:lncRNA from 1 species
GGGGCUGGGGUUCUGAGCUCUGAGCACUGAGCCUGGGAGUGGACCUGGGGUCCUGAGCUCUGAGCCUGGGAGUGGACCUGGGGUCCUGAGCGCUGAGCCUAGGAGCGGGGCUGGGGUCCUGAGUGCUGAGCAUUGCUUCCCCUGCUUUGCAGGCCCACUACGCAGUCCAGGCAAGAAGAUCCCGGAGCAUCACUAGGAAAAGAAAGCGGGAAGACUCUGCUCCUCCGUCCUCUGUGGCCCGGAGUGGGAGUUGCUCUCGAACUCCACGUGAUGUUUCUGGUCUUAGGGAUGUCAAGAUGGUGAAGAAAGCCAAGACUAUGAUGAAGAAUGCUCAGAAGAAGAUGAAUCGGUUGGGGAAGAAAGGGGAGGCGGAUAGACACGUAUUUGAUAUGAAGCCCAAGCACUUGCUGUCUGGGAAGAGGAAAGCUGGUAAAAAGGACAGGAGAUAGUAUCCGUUUGGUUGGCGUGGCUUGGCUAGACUGUUGCUGUUUAUUUCCUGGUUUGGCACAGUAUGGUUUCAUGAAAUUGGAGCUCUGUAUAAACUGAAAAAGACAAAAUAAGUAAAGCACUUGUUGCUUUGCUGAAAACUAUGGUUAACCCUAUAUAGAUGUGGGAAAUUUUUGUCACUGCAUAAUAUUACAAAUGUUUUGAGUAGACAGUGUUUCCACAUUUAAUGGAGUAUCAGUUGCUUCAGAUUUUCAGAACUGGGAAGAUUUACUGGUGUAACUGGGUUGUUUUUGAUGGCGAAAAACCUUCUUUUCUUUUGUAAGAGCUGGGAGCAAACACGUUUAUGAGUGUGUCGGAAUCCCGUGCUUAAAAUAACCUCUUAAAUUAUUUUCUAGUCUUAUUUUACAAUGUCUCAUUGUAGUCUGUCUUCAACUAUUUUAUCCAAAAUAAACCUCCAGAAGAAAGUAGUUUUCAUUUACUUAGCUCAUGUUUUGGAUUAGUUAUAGUCGCU